rnacentral:lncRNA from 1 species
ACAGGAUUCGAGGCGUCGUCCAGGGACCGGUGAGAGCGCCACUCUGUAGAUGUCUUUUCCAGAAGGGAUUCAUUUCAAACCCAAGGCAGCUAAUACUUCAGUGGCUCUGCAGACUCAUCUCCUGUUUGCCCAAGAACAAUGUAAUUUCCCCUCAAGACAGGCAGAUAGUUACAAGGUAAAUCAGUCUCCACGCAGGCACUCAUGCCUUGAACAUUAAUAUCCAGGCAACCUGAAGCCCAAGUAGCCCCAGUCAGUGCUACCACUGCUUCCUGGGCCACCUCCACCACAGCUGCUGACAACAGCACAGCUAAUUCUGCUGGCUGAAGGUGUUCUCUUGCUCCCCAGUACCCAGACAGCUUCUACCAUACUUUAGAGAAUCAGGGCUGGAGCAACAAAGCAGCUGGGAAAGAAAGGGACUUAAUUUCUUUGUGCUUUUUGUUUGUUUUAUUUUUCUUCCUUCCUUUCACAGAUAUUUCAGUGGAGGUGCUGAGUAAAAGUACCAUUUAAUGCACACUUAUCUAUGUGCCAUUUCUUCCUCAGCCCCUUUCUGGGGGAUUCUACAUGUAUGCAGCCCUGUGCUGGGGCAGAGAAGUGAAUUUGUUUACCUUCCUCAAAGGACUGAUGAAGUACCUUGGUGCUGGUCGUGCAGCCGAGCGUGAUGAGGAGCUGGAAGGAGCCAGCUGGCAGGACGUUAAUGGAGCACUGGUUUGUGCUCUGAAGACAGCUCUGAAGAGGCCAGAGGAACAUGGCACCAGAUCAAACCAGGGAUCCGUCUACUCGAGGAUCCCUCCUCUCACAGUACCCAGGGUGGUGGCCAUCCUUGUGCAUGAUCCUGGAGGUUGGUUUGACCUCCAAGCUCUCCUCUCCUCUUGGGUGCUGGCAGCUGAGCUUGCUGUGACAGCAGAUGCAGAGGCAGUGGUUAGUGCUGCAGCCAGGCUCGGCUUUCCUUGUCUAAAGAUGUUGCUGUAG